AUUGAACGCUGGCGGCGUGCUUAACACAUGCAAGUCGUGCGGUAACAGGCGUAGCAAUACGUGCUGACGAGCGGCGAACGGGUGCGUAAUACAUGGGAAUCUGCCCUUUAGUGGGGAAUAACCCGGCGAAAGCCGGGCUAAUGCCGCAUAAGAUCUUCGGAUGAAAGCGGGGAUCGUAAGACCUCGCGCUGAUGGAUGAGCCCAUGUCGGAUUAGCUAGUUGGUGAGGUAACGGCUCACCAAGGCGACGAUCCGUAGCUGGUCUGAGAGGACGGCCAGCCACACUGGGACUGAGACA
rnacentral:rRNA from 1 species